UACGUAGGGUGCAAGCGUUAAUCGGAAUUACUGGGCGUAAAGCGUGCGCAGGCGGUUUUGUGAGUCUGUCGUGAAAUCCCCGGGCUCAACCUGGGAAUUGCGAUGGAGACUGCAAGGCUAGAAUCUGGCAGAGGGGGGUAGAAUUCCACGUGUAGCAGUGAAAUGCGUAGAGAUGUGGAGGAACACCGAUGGCGAAGGCAGCCCCCCUGGGUCAAGAUUGACGCUCAUGCACGAAAGCGUGGGGGAGCAAACGAGG
rnacentral:rRNA from 1 species